CCCCUACACUGUUUUGGUGUGGGCCAUGGGAGUGCCAAUUUGAGGAAAAUCCUGAAUACAGAUACAACCCCAAAAUAAUAAGGGUCAUGGCCAGCCAGUGGGACAAUAGGAGGUAAGCUUCAUAUUUGAAAGGGGAACAACCAGGAUCACUAGCUAAGGACCCUAAAGAAUUGCUCAGUGAUAAAGAGGGUAAAGGUGUAGAGAAACUCUGGAGGUUUGCCUAGAAGUAGCCACCCUUGAUACAGUGUGUAAUAGCUCACUGAUUGAGCACUCUUGUCCCAAAAAUGAAUGGAGCUAAAGUGUUCUGCCAAAGCUGUGUGAUGUCAAACUGUAUUGGUAGAGG
rnacentral:ncRNA from 1 species